rnacentral:rRNA from 1 species
GACGAACGCUGGCGGCAGGCCUAAUACAUGCAAGUCGAACGAACCUUUUAGGUGAGUGGCGCACGGGUGAGUAACGCGUGGGAACGUGCCCCUGGGUGCGGAACAACGUCUGGAAACGGACGCUAAUACCGCAUAAUGACUCCGGUCCAAAGAUUUAUCGCCCAGGGAUCGGCCCGCGUCUGAUUAGCUAGUUGGCGGGGUAAUGGCCCACCAAGGCGACGAUCAGUAGCUGGUCUGAGAGGAUGAUCAGCCACACUGGGACUGAGACACGGCCCAGACUCCUACGGGAGGCAGCAGUAAGGGAUAUUGGACAAUGGAGGAAACUCUGAUCCAGCCAUGCCGCGUGAGUGAAGAAGGCCAUCGGGUUGUAAAGCUCUUUCAGUAGUGAAGAUGAUGACGGUAACUACGGAAGAAGCUCCGGCUAACUUCGUGCCAGCAGCCGCGGUAAUACGAAGGGGCGAGCGUUGUUCGGAAUCACUGGGCUUAAAGCGUACGUAGGC